rnacentral:rRNA from 1 species
ACGUAGGGGGCGAGCGUUGUUCGGAAUUAUUGGGCGUAAAGGGCAUGUAGGCGGUUUUGUAAGCCUGGUGUGAAAUCCUGCAGCUUAACUGUAGAAUUGCAUUGGGUACUGCGAGACUUGAAUCACAGAGGGGAAACUAGAAUUCCAGGUGUAGGGGUGGAAUCUGUAGAUAUCUGGAAGAAUACCGGUGGCGAAGGCGGGUUUCUAGCUGAUGAUUGACGCUGAGGUGCGAAAGUGCGGGGAGCAAACAG